GUCCGCUCCGGCCGGCCUCGCUGAUUGGCUCCGGAGCUGCCCGGCGCAGGCGCACUAGAGCCAGUCGCCGGGAGGAGGUCGGCGGCGCUUUCGUUCUUAAAGCGCGAGCGGAAGGGGCCGGGGCGGCUGCUGCAAAAUGAGCGAAUCUCUGGUGGUUUGUGAUGUUGCUGAAGAUCUGGUGGAAAAGUUGAGAAAAUUCCGGUUUCGCAAAGAAACCAACAAUGCUGCCAUUAUAAUGAAGAUUGACAAGGAUAAGCAGCUGGUGGUACUGGAAGAGGAGCAUGAGGUUUGUUAAAUGAACUGUAAAUAAGACUAUCUUCAGCUUGCCAUGUAUUGUUGCUGCUGACGCACUGUCUUAGUGUCAAAUUGUUCUCAAACUGUUGAUCUCAUUUGGGUUAUGAACCUCCUUCAAAUCUCUGGUUACUCUGCGGGUGGAGCAUGAUACGCUAUUAAUUGAGCUGUACGGGAGCAAUUGUAUGGCUGAUUAUCCAAACAAAAUGGUUUAAGCUUUAAAAUGUUAAUUAAAUGAUAUUUGAAUAAAAAUUAUGCAAAAAGCAUCUCUCUCCAUUUGCUGGCUCGCUGGAAGAAUUCUUGCUGAGCCUUUUGCUGACUUGCACUCUGGACUCUGCGUUGACCUGCCGUUAGUUAGACGUUAGGAAUGUCUUAAUCCCUGUAGACAGGUGGAAUAAUAACUUGAUCUCAAUCUGUAGUGUUGGCCUACACAGGGACAGCAUGAAAUCUUAUGCAAUGACUUGAAAAAUAACUUUUACCCCUCUCCCAGAAUGUUAAAAAAUAUAAUAUUUGAAGAGGAGAAUAUUGGCCACUAUGAUGGUGAGGCUUGUUCACUAGUCUGGGAACUGGUCUCUCAGAGAUGGAGACCAAGGACUAGAUUUCAGGAUCAGUUUGUAUUGCUGGUGGUAGCAAAUCUUGCACACUCGUGUUCAGUAGCAGAAAUUGAAAUAUGUGGUGAGUGCCAGUAUAUCUAAAACUAGAGUGGAGCCACAAAACAUCAGUUUCUUAAACUGAUAAGGACACAAACAGAUUUUUUUUAUAUUAACAUUAAAUCUCUUAUACAAAAUUACUAAAGCAGUUUAGCAAUCCGUUUACAGUGGAAUCUUCCUAUGACUGUUCCCAUAGGAUUGCUCUCAGUUAAAUUGUAGAGAUGUAACUGUAGAUGUAGCAGUGUCUUACUCCCAUUACCCUCCUGCUUACUCUAGCCCAUAUAGUGUGUAGGUCUGAGUUUCUCGAUACUUUAAAUGAUUGCUUCUUGGAGCAGCUGGUAUGGGAACCCACAAGG